rnacentral:rRNA from 1 species
UCGCACGAGAAAGGGAGCAAUCCUAAGUAAAGUGGCGCACGGGUGAGUAACACGUGGAUCAUCUACCUUUUAGUGGGGAAUACCUCUGGGAAACCGGAGACAAUACCGCAUAAGCCCGCAAGGGGAAAGCAGCAAUGCGCUGAAAGAGGAGUCCGCGGCCGAUUAGCUAGUUGGCGGGGUAACGGCCCACCAAGGCGAAGAUCGGUAGCCGGCCUGAGAGGGCACACGGCCACACUGGCACUGAAACACGGGCCAGACUCCUACGGGAGGCAGCAGUGGGGAAUCUUGCACAAUGGGCGAAAGCCUGAUGCAGCGACGCCGCGUGAGCGAUGAAGCCCUUCGGGGUGUAAAGCUCUUUCGACGGGAACGAUAAUGACGGUACCCGGAGAAGAAGCUGCGGCUAACUACGUGCCAGCAGCCGCGGUAAUACGUAGGCAGCGAGCGUUGUUCGGAAUUACUGGGCGUAAAGAGUGUGUAGGCGGUGUUCCCAGUCUGUUGUGAAAUCUCCCGGCUUAACUGGGAGGGUGCAGCGGAAACUAGAAUGCUAGAGGGUGGGAGAGGUAAGCGGAAUUCCUGGUGUAGCGGUGAAAUGCGUAGAUAUCAGGAGGAACACCUGUGGUGUAGACAGCUUACUGGACCACUUCUGACGCUGAGACACGAAAGCGUGGGUA